rnacentral:misc_RNA from 1 species
UACCACAUAAAAACUUUUACCACACCAUGAGUCCAUGACUAUCAACUCCCAAAGCAAUGACAUAUGAUCAAGUUUCAAAGGCCAUUCACAGUCUUUUAACAUAUGUAGUUAAUCAUCAAUGAACAGAAACAAGUAAAGAAACCAGCAUUUCAUUAUUGUAACAACAAAGCAAUAAGAACAGAACGCAUAAUCUGAUAAUGGUUAUGGUUCCUUGUG